rnacentral:lncRNA from 1 species
GGACCCCAAAUCUAAAGACCCUAUGUGUUUAUCACUUAUGGUUUACCAUUUAGAAAUGCAUAUCACUUAAUUAAAUGGAAAAGGGGGAAUAACUCUCAUAUGGAGUCUCCGUAAAGCUUCAGUCCAAAUGAAUAUCCUAAUCCUGAAGAUGUAACGAGCAAUUUGGUAAAAUAAAUUUGUCGUAAUCUUUAAUGGUUGCGAAGGAGUAGUGGCCACAAGAAAAACAGUGUUUGGGGAGAUAACUCUUACAACGGAAAGUAUUUUGUUACACAGUUCUAAAUUUUUAAAGCAUAUAAACUAUACGAUACCAUAUUCCAAAUAUCUAAGCGACAUCUUUUGAAACAUCAAUAAUACGCAAGAAAAAAAAUUAGGCGGAAGAAAAAAAAAAAUAAUAAUAAUAAUAAUCAGAACAAAUUCAAUAGGUCUUUCCACGGAAAGGUGGAAAGACCUAAUAAUCAGAACAAAUACAAUAGGUCUUUCCACGGAAAAGUGGAAAGACCUAAAAAUAAUAAUCAGAACAAAUACAAUAGGUCUUUCCACGGAAAGGUGGAAAGACCUAAUAAUAAUAAUCAGAAC